rnacentral:lncRNA from 1 species
GUACAAGUUUUAUUUUUCAUGUAUUUUCCUCCUCUUCUUCUUCUCCUCCUCCUCCGGCCAUGCACGGAUGGCGGCGGCGUCUUAGUUGACGACGUUGAUGGGCAGCGGCUUGCCGUCCCACUCCUUGAGGCACUCUAGCAUAGGGUCGACGAGCUUGCCCUGGUUGAUGCCGUUGAACACCUUGGUGCACUCCUCGCCGGGGGACUUGAGCUUCUCGCCCGUCAGGAACACGCAGCCGAGCUCCUCGCGGACGAAGCGGUACAGCGGGAACGACCGGCUGUCCGCGAUCCGGUUCGCCACGGGGGCGGUGCCCUCGGCGACGGCGACGCGGGCGGCCUCCACCUCCCGUGGCAGCACCGCGCGGAGCUCCUCCUCGAACUUGGUGAUCUUGGAGAACACGGAGGGCUCCCGCUCCGCGUCGCCGCUGCUGAGCGCGUGGUCCACCAGCACGGCGCGCAGCUUCGUCAUCAGCGGCAGGCUGGCGCUGGCCGGGUCCUCCGCGUACGUGAACACGCCCUCGCGGUCGAUGGCGGUGAUGAGCUCCUUCUCGCUGAAUCGCGCGCUGGAGAGGUCGCCCGACGGGUUCAUGGUCAGCACCUUCUUCGCCACCUGCGUCACCGUGUUCUUCACCGACGUCUUGAUGUUCUCCUCGAGGUGGCGCAGGUCGAUGGCCUGGCACAGCGCCACGAUGUAGGUGGACGACAUGAGCUUCAGGAUGUCGAUGGCCUCCGCGGUCUUCCUGGCGGAGACGAGGCCCAGGGAGUUGACGUCCUGGUUGUGCUGCUCCGCGCUCUGGACGUGGUUGGUGAUGGGGUUGCCAAGGUACUGGAGCUCAGAGCAGUAGGAGGCCAUGGCGAUCUCCGUGCCCUUGAACCCGUAGUCCAGGCUGGGGUUGCGGCUGCCGGCGAGGUUGGAGGUGAGCCCGUUGUUGUAGAACUCGUUGACCAGCUCGGAGAACUGCGCGAACAUGAGCUUGCCGAUGUUGGCGAUGGCGAGGCGGGCGUUGUCCAUGGAGACACCGAUGGGCGUGCCCUGGAAGUUGCCGCCGUGCAGCGCCUUGCCACGGUGGACGUCGAUGACCGGGUUGUCGUUGACGGAGUUGACCUCGCGCUCGAUGGACUUGGUGGCGGCGCGGAGGACCUCGAUCUGGGGGCCAAGCCACUGCGGCGACGUGCGGAGCGCGUACCUGUCCUGCUUCGGCUUCAGCAGCGGGUCCAGCUCGUUCACCUUCUUGGCGUGCUUCAUGAAGGCGCUGCCGUCCAGGAUGUGCUCCAUGAUGGCGGCGGCCUCGAUGGAGCCCGGGUGGUGCUUGAGCUUGUGGGUGAGGUGGUCGGUGUACUCGGGCUUGCCGUUCAUCACCUCGCAGAAGAUGGCGGACAGGACCUCGGACAGGACGGCGAGGACGUUGGCGUCGUACAUCACGGUGGCCGCGAGCGCGGAGCCCACGGAGGUGCCGUUGACGAUGGCCAGACCUUCCUUGGGGUUGAGCUUGAAGAAGCCGCCCUCGAUGCCGGCGAUCUUGAACGCCUCGGCGGCGUCCACCUUCCUCCCGUCGACGGUGGUGGCCUGCGCGUUGGGGCGGCCCGUGAUGAGGCCGGCAAUGUAGGAGAGCGGGACGAGGUCUCCCGACGCGGUGAUGGUGCCCCGGAGCGGCAGGCACGGGCUGACCCCGGUGUUGAGCAGCUUGGUGAUGGCCUCCAGGAUCUCGAAGCGGAUGCCCGAGUAGCCCUGGAGGAGGGUGUUGAUGCGCACCAGCAUCGCCGCGCGGACGACCUCCGACGGCAGCGUGUGGCCAUCGCUGCCGGUGCCGAAGAUCCCGGCGUUGAGAUGCCUGCAGGGGAGGGGGAGGACAUGGGUCAGUCUUUUCAGUGUGACAGCAUCGACAAAUGGCGACAGAAUUCGUUACUGAACACGGCCUGACAGCACAAGCUGCAGGUUGACAGUUGCUAUUUUUUGUGAACGUUGAAAACAAAAGAGUCAGGGCUGAACACGGCCUAGUUUUAAAAUUUGCGUUUGGUGUGUGUACAUAAUGCCUGGUGCAGACUGUGCAAUACUUGUAGUUUCGUGUCCAGAAAUUUGAGAAAAAACAAAAGACGUCUGGAUCUACUAGGUGUUUUUUUUUGGAGAAUACUGCAUAUGCACAUGUGACAUGACAAGUGUAGACAGAUGUUGAAUACUACUGUAUACUUUUGUUCUCUUUUAAUGUCACAUCCAUAUAUUGGUACAGUUUCUCCGACUUUUCCCCGUGACCCGUCCCACAUGACAUGACUAGAAACCUCGGCCGGAUCUCCAGGCUCCCUGCUGACUUGUCGCACGCCGCCGGCGGCCGGCCUGCAGGCUAGGAGGAAGCCGUUUUCCCGGCAG